rnacentral:sRNA from 1 species
AGAGAUUCUACCACUUCCUCACGUGUGAUGCGAUAUUUAUCCACUCGAGACAGUUAAAUUUUCAAAUUUAAAACGCGAGGCUUGACGCGUGUUUUAAAUGUUAAAAAUUUUAACUGUCGAGAGUGGAUAGAUAUCGGAUGACACGAAAUUUGGUGGUGGAAUCUGUUUCUCU